UACGAAGGGGGCUAGCGUUGCUCGGAAUCACUGGGCGUAAAGGGUGCGUAGGCGGGUCUUUAAGUCAGGGGUGAAAUCCUGGAGCUCAACUCCAGAACAGCCUUUGAUACUGAAGAUCUUGAGUUCGGGAGAGGUGAGUGGAACUGCGAGUGUAGAGGUGAAAUUCGUAGAUAUUCGCAAGAACACCAGUGGCGAAGGCGGCUCACUGGCCCGAUACUGACGCUGAGGCACGAAAGCGUGGGGAGCAAACAGG
rnacentral:rRNA from 1 species